rnacentral:rRNA from 1 species
UACGUAGGGGGCGAGCGUUGUCCGGAUUUAUUGGGCGUAAAGAGCGUGUAGGCGGCCAGGUAGGUCUGCUGUGAAAACUCGAGGCUCAACCUCGAGACGUCGGCGGAAACCAUCUGGCUAGAGUCCGGAAGAGGAGAGUGGAAUUCCUGGUGUAGCGGUGAAAUGCGCAGAUAUCAGGAGGAACACCAAUGGCGAAGGCAGCUCUCUGGUACGUGACUGACGCUGAGACGCGAAAGCGUGGGGAGCGAACAGG